GUGAAUCAUCGAAUUUUUGAACGCAAAUUGCACUCUCUGGUACUCCGGAGAGUAUGCCUGUUUGAGGGUCAGUUUAAAUAUAAAUCGGUGUGGUUGCUGCCUUUCGUGGUGACGCACCGGAUGUGGGUCGUCUUUCCUUUGGUUAAGUGACCUAGAAUUUUGCAGGAAUUUUACGAAAGUUUU
rnacentral:misc_RNA from 1 species